rnacentral:misc_RNA from 1 species
UAACUGCGCGCAGACGUGUGAACUGCAGGACACAUGAACACCGACGUUUUGAACGCAAAUGGCGGCUUGAAAUAAAUUUCAAGCCACGUCUGGCUGAGGGUCGGAUACAAAAUCAAAACUAAAAAAUGCUUUCUGAGUAAAAUUCUCAGGUUAAGUUUUAUCGUCAAGUUCUUUUGUGAGCUUGAUUAGAAUAUCAAUUGUAUGUUUGCUUGAGUUUGUUCUAAUAUGUAAUAUUUGUGAACAAGCAGCAGAUUUAUGUGUAACAAAAAGUCUGGAAAAAAGCGACAUUGUAUAUUGAAGUAAACAUUAAUAAAUGAAUCACAUAUACGACCUCAGAGUAGGCGAGAUUACCCGCUAAAUUUAA